rnacentral:rRNA from 1 species
UGGGCAAGACCGGUGCCAGCCCGCCGCGGUAAUACCGGCAGCCCGAGUGAUGGCCGAUAUUAUUGGGCCUAAAGCGUCCGUAGCUGGCCGGACAAGUCCGUUGGGAAAUCUGUUCGCUUAACGAGCAGGCGUCCAGCGGAAACUGUUCGGCUUGGGACCGGAAGACCUGAGGGGUACGUCCGGGGUAGGAGUGAAAUCCUGUAAUCCUGAACGGACCACCGAUGGCGAAAGCACCUCGAGAGGACUGAUCCGACAGUGAGGGACGAAAGCUGGGGUCUCGAACCGGAUUAGAUACCCGGGUAGUCCCAGCCGUAAACGAUGUUCGCUAGGUGUGUCACUCACUACGAGUGAGUGAUGUGCCGCAGGGAAGCCGCUAAGCGAACCGCCUGGGAAGUACGUCCGCAAGGAUGAAACUUAAAGGAAUUGGCGGGGGAGCACUACAACCGGAGGAGCCUGCGGUUUAAUUGGACUCAACGCCGGUAACCUUACCAGCCCCGACUACGGUGAUGACGGCCAGGUUGAUGACCUCGUCACGACGCCGUAGAGAGGUGGUGCAUGGCCGCCGUCAGCUCGUACCGUGAGGCGUCCUGUUAAGUCAGGCAACGAGCGAGACCCGCACUCUUAAUUGCCAGCAUGUCCCUUGUGGAUGAUGGGUACAUUAGGAGGACUGCCGCCGCCAAGGCGGAGGAAGGAACGGGCAACGGUAGGUCAGUAUGCCCCGAAUGGGCUGGGCAACACGCGGGCUACAAUGGCCGAGACAAUGGGUUCCCACCCCGAGAGGGAGCGGUAAUCUCAGAAACUCGGUCGUAGUUCGGAUUGCGGACUGCAACUCGUCCGCAUGAAGCUGGAUUCGGUAGUAAUCGCAU